rnacentral:rRNA from 1 species
AACGAACGCUGGCGGCAGGCCUAACACAUGCAGGUCGAGCGAGGACUUCGGUUCUAGCGGCGGACGGGUGAGUAACGCGUGGGAAUGUGCCCUUCUCUACGGAAUAGCCCUGGGAAACUGGGAGUAAUACCGUAUACGCCCUUUUGGGGAAAGAUUUAUCGGAGAAGGAUCAGCCCGCGUUGGAUUAGGUAGUUGGUGGGGUAAUGGCCUACCAAGCCGACGAUCCAUAGCUGGUUUGAGAGGAUGAUCAGCCACACUGGGACUGAGACACGGCCCAGACUCCUACGGGAGGCAGCAGUGGGGAAUCUUAGACAAUGGGGGCAACCCUGAUCUAGCCAUGCCGCGUGAGUGAUGAAGGCCUUAGGGUUGUAAAGCUCUUUCAGCUGGGAAGAUAAUGACGGUACCAGCAGAAGAAGCCCCGGCUAACUCCGUG